rnacentral:rRNA from 1 species
UACGUAGGGCGCAAGCGUUGUCCGGAAUUAUUGGGCGUAAAGAGCUCGUAGGCGGUUUGUCGCGUCUGUCGUGAAAGCUUGGGGCUUAACCCCAAGUCUGCGGUGGAUACGGGCAGACUAGAGGCAGGUAGGGGAGAACGGAAUUCCCGGUGUAGCGGUGAAAUGCGCAGAUAUCAGGAGGAACACCAAUGGCGAAGGCAGCACUCUGGGACGUGACUGACGCUGAGACGCGAAAGCGUGGGGAGCAAACAGG